rnacentral:rRNA from 1 species
UACGAGAUGCGGCAUGUGACUGGAGUUCAGACGUGUGCUCUUCCGAUCUCGGGGGAGCACCACAACGGGUGGAGCUUGCGGUUUAAUUGGAUUCAACGCCGGAAAUCUUACCGGGACCGACAGCAAUAUGAAGGCCAGGCUGAAGACUUUGCCGGAUUAGCUGAGAGGUGGUGCAUGGCCGUCGUCAGUUCGUACUGUGAAGCAUCCUGUUAAGUCAGGCAACGAGCGAGACCCACGCCCACAGUUGCCAGCGUACUCUCUGGAGUGACGGGUACACUGUGGGGACCGCCGCUGCUAAAGCGGAGGAAGGAAUGGGCAACGGUAGGUCAGUAUGCCCCGAAUAUCCCGGGCUACACGCGAGCUACAAUGGUUGGUACAAUGGGUAUCUACCCCGAAAGGGGACGGGAAUCUCCUAAAACCAAUCUUAGUUCGGAUUGAGGGCUGCAACUCGCCCUCAUGAAGCUGGAAUCCGUAGUAAUCGCGUUUCAACAGAACGCGGUGAAUACGUCCCUGCUCCUUGCACACACCGCCCGUAGAUCGGAAGAGCGUCGUGUAGGGAAAGAGUGUAGAUCUCGGUGG